rnacentral:rRNA from 1 species
GCAUGGUGGGUGGUGGAAAGCUUUUGCGGUUGAGGAUGGGCCCGCGGCCUAUCAGCUUGUUGGUGGGGUAAUGGCCUACCAAGGCGACGACGGGUAGCCGACCUGAGAGGGUGAUCGGCCACACUGGGACUGAGACACGGCCCAGACUCCUACGGGAGGCAGCAGUGGGGAAUAUUGCACAAUGGGCGCAAGCCUGAUGCAGCGACGCCGCGUGAGGGAUGACGGCCUUCGGGUUGUAAACCUCUUUCACCAGGGACGAAGCGUGAGUGACGGUACCUGGAGAAGAAGCACCGGCCAACUACGUGCCAGCAGCCGCGGUAAUACGUAGGGUGCGAGCGUUGUCCGGAAUUACUGGGCGUAAAGAGCUCGUAGGCGGUUUGUCGCGUCGUCUGUGAAAUUCUGCAACUCAAUUGCAGGCGUGCAGGCGAUACGGGCAGACUUGAGUACUACAGGGGAGACUGGAAUUCCUGGUGUAGCGGUGAAAUGCGCAGAUAUCAGGAGGAACACCGGUGGCGAAGGCGGGUCUCUGGGUAGUAACUGACGCUGAGGAGCGAAAGCGUGGGUAGCGAACAGGAUUAGAUACCCUGGUAGUCCACGCCGUAAACGGUGGGUACUAGGUGUGGGUUCCUUUUCACGGGAUCCGUGCCGUAGCU